rnacentral:rRNA from 1 species
CACGUAGGGUGCGAGCGUUGUCCGGAAUUAUUGGGCGUAAAGAGCUCGUAGGCGGUGUGUCGCGUCGGCCGUGAAAACCUGGGGCUUAACUCUGGGCGUGCGGUCGAUACGGGCAUCACUUAGAGUUCGGCAGGGGGAGACUGGAAUUCCUGGUGUAGCGGUGAAAUGCGCAGAUAUCAGGAGGAACACCGGUGGCGAAGGCGGGUCUCUGGGCCGAUACUGACGCUGAGGAGCGAAAGCAUGGGUAGCGAACAGG